GACGAACCGAGCGAACGUUAUUCGGAAUCACUGGGCUUAAAGGGCGCGUAGGCGGGUGUUCAAGUCCGUGGUGAAAUCCUCCAGCUUAACUGGAGAACUGCCGCGGAUACUGGGCACCUAGAGGAAGGUAGGGGCAUCUGGAACUGAUGGUGGAGCGGUGAAAUGCGUUGAUAUCAUCAGGAACUCCGGUGGCGAAGGCGAGGUGCUGGCCCUUUUCUGACGCUGAGGCGCGAAAGCCAGGGGAGCAAACGUG
rnacentral:rRNA from 1 species